rnacentral:rRNA from 1 species
CCUACGGGAGGCUGCAGUGAGGAAUAUUGGUCAAUGGGCGCGAGACUGAACCAGCCAAGUAGCGUGCAGGAUGACUGCCCUACGGGUUGUAAACUUCUUUUAUGCAGGGAUAAAGUGAGGCACGUGUGCCUUUUUGUAUGUACUUUAUGAAUAAGGAUCGGCUAAUUCCGUGCCAGCAGCCGCGGUAAUACGGAGGAUCCGAGCGUUAUCCGGAUUUAUUGGGUUUAAAGGGAGCGUAGGUCGGUUGUUAAGCGUGCUGUGAAAUUCUGCGGCUCAACCAUGACACUGCAAUGGAUACUGGCAGUCUUGAGUACAGUUGAGGUAGGCGGAAUUCGUGGUGUAGCGGUGAAAUGCUUAGAUAUCACGAAGAACUCCGAUUGCGAAGGCAGCUUACUAAACUGCUACUGACACUGAUGCUCGAAAGCGUGGGUAUCAAACAGGAUUAGAUACCCGGGUAGUC